AGCCAUAUCAUGUUGAAAUACUGGUUCUCUUAUGAUCACUGAAAUUAAGCAAUGUUGAUCCUGGUCAGUACUUAGAUGGGUGACUGUUUGGGAAUACUAGAUGCUGCAAGC